GUUCCGGGAUGUGAAGGGUAGUGUCAAGGGCCGUUCUGGGCAAUGAUUGGGCACCGCAAGAACGCCCGACUAAGCCUUUCCGGGUUCAGGGCAGCUCCAAAUGGACCCCUAGUCCCUGCCUCCCUCUUCGUGUACCCAGUGCCCAUUGGCCGACUGUUGGGGACCGGCACGAUGAUUGCAGGACGGAGUUCAGGCGGCAGAAAAAGAAAUUUCAAAUAUGGAAAGGAGGAAAACUGGAACACUGAGGUGAUAUACUGGAAUUGGAGAGCUACACCUAAACUCGUGGUUUGCAAUAUAUAGAUAUGAGGAAAUGACAGCACAUAGAGUUUAAGAGGCUAAGUAAUGGGGCCAGUGUUGUGGCAUAGCUUGUGACACCAGCAUCCCAUUUGGGCAUUGGUUCGAGUCCCGGCUGCUCCUCUUCAAAUCCAGCUCUCUGCUACGACCUGGGAAAGCAUCAGAAAAUGGCCCAAGUCCUUGGGCCCCUGCACCCAUGUGGAGACUCAAAAGAAGCUCCUGGCUCCUGGCUUUGGACUGUCCCAGAUCAAACCAUUGAAGCAAUUUGGGGAGUGAACCAGUGGAUGGAAGACUCUCUCUCUGCUUCUGUAACUUCGCCUUUCAAAUAAAUAAAUAAAUCUUUAAAAAAUUCAAA